UCUACAAUAGAUCUUCUCCAGCAGCUCUGGAGGUCAGACCCAGCUGUGGAGAGAAUCAUUCCUAGAAAACUGGAAGGCACGUUGGGAGACUACUACUUUCUGUGGAUGAAUGGGAAAUUCAAGACAGAAAAUGGAUGGGCGGUAUGGAAAUACCACUGUUACCCAUUUAUUGGCCAGAGGAAAGCAGAGGCAAGCAGAGAGAUGGACACUUAAGCAAUAUACUAGUCAGUGUCCUGAAGAGGAG